UGACUGAAAAGUCCAGAAAUCUGAUUAUAUCCCACUCCGAGUGGCAUUAUUGGGAUUUAUAUCUUCAAAAAAAGAGAAUAUGUAUAGAAAAACUUAAUAUAUCAAGUAUUACUUUCGGUGGGGAAUAGCCUAACAGGUCGGUUUGUACAGGUACAAAGGUAACAGAAUAUCUAGACAUUACGCCAUGACGCGUCAGCGGGGGAAUACCCUGACUCAUUUGAGAGCCGCAAAUAAAUGUUUUUUUUUUUUAGUGAGCCUUGGAAAAAACCCUUCCCAAGAGGCAUUGCUUCUAAGUGUAUUGAUAAUUUAUCUCUCCCUAAUGCUUUCUCUUUCAACAAUAUUCAUGUAAAGCGUCAGGGAAAGCCCCCUUCCCAUAAGACAUUGUUUCGGAGUCUAUAAAUAAGCGAUGUCUCUCCAACCCUUUCUCUUUUUGCGGGCGCUGUUUGCUGUACGUAACGUGUCCAGGUGUACUUGAAAGCCAAUCAAUAUAUUAUUACCAACAUUGGAAUCCAGUGGUGAAAAAUCUCCGUCUUUGCGCAGAACUAACAUAUAGACUCUGAGUGAACCUGCUGAAGCUGAAGCUAUGUGGUCCGGCAUGAAAGGUAGUGGAUCGUCCUCCGGAGCGGGGUCCAGUGGAUCCGGCGGAGCUCGACCGCCCCAUGACAUCACCAGUCAGCAAGGCCUCCGCCAGCUGUACAACAGCAAGGUAGUCCGCGCCGAAGAGGUGCGACGUCCCCUUGGAGACGGCAAAACAAUGUGGGGGCCGGCCUACCACACCGGCGCUCGCGUCACUCUGGAAGACGGCAGUAAAUGGCUGGUCCACAAGGGACCCGGUUUCGACUAUGGCAACCAAACCGUGGUCACUGAUGCCAAACACAUGGGUGGGAGAUGGGUGCAGAAGGGAGGGGUGAAAGAGGUACAGGGAGGAGCCACCGUAUCUGACUUCGUCAAAGCUAGAGGGCAAAACUACACGCCUGUCUUCAAUGACUGCCAAAGUGCCCGCGAUCGCAUGAUGAAACUGCCUGGAAAAGGCAAGAAGUAGAACAUUUGCCCACCACCCCUCCCCCCAAAAAAUAAGAGUUCGAAGACCUCAAACCUCCGUGAAAUAUCUAGAGUUUCAGUGUAAAUGUCUUGCUUCAUCCUGUAUGAUUAAUAACGCAUGAAAGCAUAAUUUAUUUCAAGACGUCGUACCGUAAUUCAGUGUUGCAAAAUCAAAUCUCACAUUAAAGUAGACACGGACAUUUUCUAAAUAUACCAUAAUACUUUAUUCAAUCUCCUAGAAGUUAGCAUUUUGGCAGAAAAUUUCAAAUUAUUUUCAAGUGCACGAAUUUGGAUAAACAAACUAUGAGAAAGCGAAAACAAACGUCGAUUUUCUCCAGCUUAAUAAAUUUUUCCUGUAGAAUGUUGACAGCGACCACAUAAUUAAUACUUUAUCCGUUGCGUUAGCAUUGUACAUGUUGGAAAACACUUGCUUUUCUGGAUUUCAUAUAACGUUGAAUACAUGACAUACCCGUACGUAUGACAUCACGAUCACUCUGAAAUUACACAAUAGAACAAUAAAACUAUAUGAGAGAAACACAAA